rnacentral:lncRNA from 1 species
CCCGAACCUGUUGGCAGGUCUUCGUCCCGCCCCUUCUUUCCCUUUCUCCCGCCUCCCCGAGUUUACGCGCUGUGAUUGGUCGAGAGAGCCGUCCGGUCUCCUUUCCCCUCCCCCUCCCGCGGGCGAGUUGGGCUGCGCGGCAGCGGAGGUGGAAGCCUGAGGCGGCAGCGGCGGCGGCAGCGGCCUCCCCUUCGUCCUCCUUCCCUCCUUCCCUCCUCCCGCCCGCCCAGCUCGCCUCCCGGCUGCCCUUGUGCCUCACACACCCCCCUGGCCUCCUCCGUCCCGGCGCUUGCUCCGGGAGCUGAGCCGGCCCCGCCUGAGGAGCAGCAGUGGCGGGAAGAUCCAGCUUCCUUUGGUCAAGUACAGCUUUCUACCUUGGUGCUGAGAAUCCUUAAAGAUAGUGAGUCGACAUAUAGCUUCUAGAGCGCCACAAGGAGGCUGAGAGGUGACACGGACCUGAGAGGUCAAGGUCGACAUUGCAGCCAGUUAAGUAGUGGAAGAGAAGCUCAAGUUUGGCUCUCCUGACUUGUAAGUCUGGCGUCCCUUGUCCAACCUCAGGGUAUCUCUCCUCCCGAUAAUCAAGUAGGACGGGACGUGGGUGG